rnacentral:rRNA from 1 species
UGGGGAAUAUUGCACAAUGGGGGAAACCCUGAUGCAGCGACGCCGCGUGAGCGAAGAAGGUUUUCGAAUCGUAAAGCUCUGUCCUAUGGGAAGAUAAUGACGGUACCAUAGGAGGAAGCCCCGGCUAACUACGUGCCAGCAGCCGCGGAAAUACGUAGGGGGCAAGCGUUGUCCGGAAUCACUGGGCGUAAAGGGUUCGCAGGCGGAAAUGCAAGUCAGUUGUGAAAGGCAGAGGCUCAACCUCUGUAAGCAAUUGAAACUGUAUUUCUUGAGAUGUGGAGAGGCAAGUGGAAUUCCUAGUGUAGCGGUGAAAUGCGUAGAUAUUAGGAAGAAUACCGGUGGCGAAGGCGACUUGCUGGACACAAACUGACGCUGAGGAACGAAAGCGUGGGUAGCAAACAGG